UACGUAGGGUGCAAGCGUUGUCCGGAAUUAUUGGGCGUAAAGAGUUCGUAGGCGGUUUGUCGCGUCCGCUGUGAAAGCUUGGGGCUCAACCCCAAGUCUGCAGUGGAUACGGGCAGACUAGAGUCAGGUAGGGGAGAACGGAAUUCCUGGUGUAGCGGUGAAAUGCGCAGAUAUCUGGAGGAACACCGGUGGCGAAGGCGGCAUCCUGGACCGGCAUUGACGCUGAGGAGCGAAAGCCAGGGGAGCAAACGGG
rnacentral:rRNA from 1 species